AGGGAAUCUUCCGCAAUGGACGAAAGUCUGACGGAGCAACGCCGCGUGAACGAAGAAGGCCUUCGGGUCGUAAAGUUCUGUUGUUAGGGAAGAACAAGUACGAUAGUAACUGAUCGUACCUUGACGGUACCUAACCAGAAAGCCACGGCUAACUACGUGCCAGCAGCCGCGGUAAUACGUAGGUGGCAAGCGUUGUCCGGAAUUAUUGGGCGUAAAGCGCGCGCAGGUGGUUCCUUAAGUCUGAUGUGAAAGCCCACGGCUCAACCGUGGAAGGUCAUUGGAAACUGGGGAACUUGAGUGCAGAAGAGGAAAGUGGAAUUCCAAGUGUAGCGGUGAAAUGCGUAGAUAUUUGGAGGAACACCAGGGGCGAAGGCGACUUUCUGGUCUGUAACUGACACUGAGGCGCGAAAGCGUGGGGAGCAAAC
rnacentral:rRNA from 1 species